GGCCCCGUAGCACAAUGGUACUGCGUCUGACUCCAGAUCAGAAGAUUGCGUGUUCGAAUCACGUCGGGGUCA